rnacentral:ncRNA from 1 species
GCAGUCGCCGGGUAAAAGAGAAACAGGUGCAACGCCUGUGCUGUCCCGCAGCUGUAAGCAGGAAACGCGUUUCAAAACAGUCACUGGAGUUUUUAUCUUCUCCGGGAAGGCGAAUCGCUGUAUUGCCUGCAAGCCAGAAAACCUGCUCACGGAUUA